rnacentral:rRNA from 1 species
UGGGGAAUCUUCCGCAAUGGACGAAAGUCUGACGGAGCAACGCCGCGUGAGUGAUGACGGCCUUCGGGUUGUAAAGCUCUGUUAAUCGGGACGAAUGGUUCUUGUGCGAAUAGUGCAAGGAUUUGACGGUACCGGAAUAGAAAGCCACGGCUAACUACGUGCCAGCAGCCGCGGUAAUACGUAGGUGGCAAGCGUUGUCCGGAAUUAUUGGGCGUAAAGCGCGCGCAGGCGGAUUGGUCAGUCUGUCUUAAAAGUUCGGGGCUUAACCCCGUGAUGGGAUGGAAACUGCCAAUCUAGAGUAUCGGAGAGGAAAAUGGAAUUCCUAGUGUAGCGGUGAAAUGCGUAGAUAUUAGGAAGAACACCAGUGGCGAAGGCGACUUUCUGGACGAAAACUGACGCUGAGGCGCGAAAGCCAGGGGAGCGAACGGG